GACGAACGCUGGCGGCGUGCCUAAUACAUGCAAGUCGAGCGCAGGAAGCCGUCUGAACCCUUCGGGGGGACGACGGUGGAAUGAGCGGCGGACGGGUGAGUAACACGUAAAGAACCUGCCCAUAGGUCUGGGAUAACCACGAGAAAUCGGGGCUAAUACCGGAUGUGUCAUCGGACCGCAUGGUCCGCUGAUGAAAGGCGCUCCGGCGUCGCCCAUGGAUGGCUUUGCGGUGCAUUAGCUAGUUGGUGGGGUAACGGCCCACCAAGGCGACGAUGCAUAGCCGACCUGAGAGGGUGAUCGGCCACACUGGGACUGAGACACGGCCCAGACUCCUACGGGAGGCAGCAGUAGGGAAUCUUCCACAAUGGACGAAAGUCUGAUGGAGCAACGCCGCGUGAACGAUGAAGGCUUUCGGGUCGUAAAGUUCUGUUGUAAGGGAAGAACAAGUGCCGCAGGCAAUGGCGGCACCUUGACGGUACCUUGCGAGAAAGCCACGGCUAACUACGUGCCAGCAGCCGCGGUAAUACGUAGGUGGCAAGCGUUGUCCGGAAUUAUUGGGCGUAAAGCGCGCGCAGGCGGCCUCUUAAGUCUGAUGUGAAAGCCCCCGGCUCAACCGGGGAGGGCCAUUGGAAACUGG
rnacentral:rRNA from 1 species